rnacentral:rRNA from 1 species
UACGGGGGGAGCAAGCGUUGUUCGGAUUCAUUGGGCGUAAAGGGCGCGUAGGUGGCUUGGUUAGUCCGACGUGAAAUGUACCGGUUCAACCGGGGCACUGUGGCGGAAACUGCCGAGCUUGAGGCCGAGGGAGGAAGGUGGAAUUCCUGGUGUAGCGGUGAAAUGCGUAGAUAUCAGGAGGAACACCCGUGGCGAAGGCGACCUUCUAUCUCGGAUCUGACACUGAGGCGCGAAAGCCAGGGGAGCAAACGGG